GGUGCGGGCGACGGGGAACGGGGCCGGCAACCGGCUGGGACAACGGGGGACGGGGCGACGGCGCCAUGCCGGCGGUCCGUGAGGGCGACAGGUCGGGGCCAGUGGCCUGCGGUGGCGAAGGGGGACGGGGUCGGGCCCGGUGGCGCCGGUGGUGAAGACGGGCCGUGGCGGGUUGGGCGACGGGGAACGGGGCCGGUGACCGGCUGGGGCGACGGGGGACGGGGCGCGCAGGUCGACUGGGGCGACGGCGCCAGGCCGGCGGUCUGCGAGGGCGAAGGGGAACGGGGCCGCUGGAUCUGGAGGCCAAGAGGGAAGGCCCGAGGACUCGGCUCAGGCGACGGCGAGGCGGGAUCAACCGGCGGUGGUUGACCAGCUAGGGACGAGGAGGAGCCUGGACCGGGCAGAGAAGAAGGGAUCGAGGGAGAGAUGCGGUCGGUGUGGAACUGUGGGAGAGGGACCGGGCAGAGAAGAAGGGAUCGAGGCAAAGAUGCGGUCGCCG
rnacentral:rRNA from 1 species